rnacentral:lncRNA from 1 species
AAGUGUUAAGGAUGUGCCUUUUCACCUUCUCUUCACUUUAUGACCUGGCUCACUCUUAACUUGAAAAAUUCCCAAGUCCAGGCUUGUAAUGUGCUGUAUUCCAAACUAGAGCAGGAGUGUACAAAAUGCAAAAGUAGCCUGGGGAUGGCCCAGUGAUAAGAAGCUUGCCUGGAUGCUUGUCAAGGCCUUGGGUUCCAUCCCUGAUACUACAAGUUCAUCAACAAAUCAGUGCUGGCCAUUUCCCAGCCCUGCUUCAAUACUGUGACAUAAGGAUAGAAGCUGUCCUGCCAGGCCUGCACACUUGGCUGGCUCUGCACUCUUGGGUCCUGCCAGCAGCUCACCUUUGCCCUUCUCUACCUCUCCAGACUCACAAAGCUAGGUUCCUGACCCUUGGUAGUUGCAGGAUUAGGCUCGCCUUUCCCUGUGUCCACCCAGGGCUUGUCCUUUAACUUCAUGCUGCUUCCAAGCCUCACCUUCCUGACCAGCCUCAGGAGCACCAAGAGCUGAAGUACUGAGGAUCCACAUCAUCAACAUUGGCUCCAUCUUCCUGGGUGGCAGCUGAUCGUCUAUGGAUCUGAGGGGAAGCCAAGCCAUCCAGGAAAUUUCCUGUUCCCAGAGUCCCUGCAGAGUUGUGAAAAUUGUUUCACUUGACUGUCUUCCUCCAUGGACUAUGAGAGCCUCAAGGGUAGCCAUUCCUUAGUGACUGGCCAGACUGCUCUCCAGGACAGUUGACCUGAGACCCUGCAGAACACAUCUGCCUUGAGUUUGGGCCUGUUGAAUGAUGGCGUGAGCACUUGUCACUAAAGGCUGCUCCCAACUGCCCCAGCUUGUGCUUAGACCUGGCAAUCCAUGUUCUCACUGACAUGGCUGAUGGGAUUCCAAAUUCCAAGUGCUGGUCUCACCUGUGUCUGGUGUGAGCUGCUUCUGGAUUUCUCUACACAUCUGGCACCCCAAUGUCAGGGCAACAGUGUGGCCAACUCCAAGUUCUGGACCCUGGACUUUGUUUUUGCUUCCUGGAGCACCAGCGUGACCUGGACAGGNNNNNCCCAGUCAAGCCCAAGCUACACUUAGCUUUAUGUGGAAGUCACCGUGGACAUCUUCCAGAUCUAUGACAAACUCCCAGAGAUGGGUGGCCUCAAGGAACUGUUCCAAUAGAGAUUCUCCAUUGAUUUGGUCUUCAUGAAACAUUGGGGUGAAGAACCUGCUUCUGCCAUACACAAGGAGCAGUCUGAUGGAGAGCUUCACUCAUGGCAUCCCUGUCUGGGGCAUCACCCAUGACAUCUUGUCUGGCCUGUAGGUUAUCAUUACAGAGGCCUGCUGGCAGGAGACUUGCUGUUUUUUCACACACCUUUGAGGUAUUAACCAAGCAGCCUGGAGUUCAACACCCCAUGUAAAAGCUGCGGAAAGACAGAGAGAAUCAGGAAAGAAGUGAGCAUGGUUAUCAGAGACUUAGAAGCCCUGCAGUGACAGCCCCUGAAGUACCAAGCAAAAGUACACCUCCCGGAGACAACUGUCUGAUCCUGCGGUGCCAAUGAUCCCAUGGUAUCUUGCAUUUUUCAAAUGAACUGAACUGGCUGAAGGAGCUGGCAGAGCUGAGGAGAAGGACACACCNGAGAGCUCAGUGGACUCAGCCAGGAACAUCACCAGAUAAGGUUCCCUAGGCUGCCACUCUAACCAGUGCUGGUGCUGCUGGUUACACUGCUUCAAGUANUCUGGAGCAGAAGUGGAAGGUCUAUCCUGGGAUGUUUGUGUGUGCCCAGCUCUCAUGAGGCAUUCUGUGGGAGAGCAGACAUGAGCAGGGCAGCAGAGGUGGUGGUGCAGAGCAGAGGUGAACAGCUCUCUGGAGUCACACUAACUCAGUGCACAGCCUUAAGGCAACACACUUAAUUGCACUGUACCUCAGUUUUCUGUCUGUAAAAUAGAUAUGAAGUUGUCAACCCUAUGUAUGAGCAAUGCCUUCCAGUGCUGAGAACAUCCUCCAGUUCUAAAAUACAUGUAUUGGCAUUAAUUGACUUGAACUGAGGAGACAGGCUAGUGAGCUAUGCAGGAGGGNUGGGUGGUCCCCACAACAAUUGGCCACCACAGAUGGGAGAGAUCAGAGCAUGAAAGACUUGGAAGAGGUUUCCCUUGAGGGAUGAGAAAUAUUUAUUGAUGUUAUUUCUUCAUUUUGAGGCACUAGGAAUGGUACCCAGGCUUGGCACAGGCUGGGCAAGUGUUUUCAUCCCAUAGGCAACAGCUCCAUCAUGUUUUAAAUGAGCACAUGAGAGGAGUCUGACUGAUCCUAGUUGGGGAAAACAAAUCCAUGUUCUAGACCACACUUUCACUCCACCCCCACUCUCUGCAUCAAAAAUCUUAAUGAUCCCCAGCUGAACCUCAGGCUGACUGCAUGACUGUAGUAUACAAGGAAAUCUGCUCUCACAGAGAGAAGAGGAAACCAAGGAGCCUGGAGUAAGUCUCUGAGGCAGUGGCAUGAGACUGCUUGUGAAGAUAGGAGUCUGUGUUUGUAGUCCCCAGGCAGCCCCAGCAUUCUCUCUAGCUUGGUGUGGAUCCAGGACCAGUCAGGCUCCUGGAGGUAGCAUGGAAGCAGCCUCUUGGCUGUAGGAAAAUGGCAGACACAGCCCUUUCCCUGAUCACAAGCUGUAGGUUGAUAAUGAUGUUGAGUCUCAGUGUUGUUGAACACAAACUUGCCCUCUGACCUGACCUCACUGGCUUUACUUACUUAGAGGCCUAUUGUCCCAAGAGUUGACAUAGAAGAAAGCAGCUAUAGCUGCCUCUCCACUGGUGGAGUCCUACCUUGACCAGUAGGAAGGGGAGCUGUUUCUGCUGUGCCUCCCUAUUUCCCAUACACCUCACUCUAGCCUACCUGGCUCAUUGACUGCCUACAGCCUUCUGUGACUAAUAAUGUCCUUCCUAUUUCCUAAUGGCUACCUGUGGGUAACUUUCUAUGAGAUCACUAAUAAGUACCUCCUCUUGUGCCACUGUUUGGUCUUGCCUGCCUUUGAACCCACUCCAUGUUAACUCACAUUGCAUGGUACAGAAUAGCACAUCUCCUUGGAACUGGAAGUGUCGCUGAUGGGGGUUUCAAUUUCUUGCCUGUGCUUGUCUUUAGCUCUUGGGUUUCUGUGAACCUUGCUUCAGCUUUUCAAGAAGCUAGGACUCCAGACAAGCCUGGCAGUUCAUUUUAAAGAAGAAAGUAUGUCCUAGAGAGCCCAGCUAAUUUGCUGUGAUUGGUAAUGCAUUUGUAUACUUGCUGUGUCAUAGUUAACUUCUGAAGCACUUCAGACAAUGAGACCAUGCCAAGGAGCACAGACAAGUGUCCCUGGAGCUUCCUUUGGACUGAGGAGGAAGAAGGAGGAGGUGACCUGUCAGUUGUGGGAAGUGGAACAGAAAGCCAUCAAUGUCCCUCAGAGGGGGUUGCUGAGGCCCAGCAUUGGUGUCAGUUUGUGAAGAUCAUGCAGAACCAUGUCAGAAGGGAGAGGGGCAGCUCUUUAUGUUGAGAACUGUAGGUCCUAGAGGCAAGAUGUGGAUAGAGGUGUCCCAGGCAUCAAGAGGAGACCCUGAGGGAAAGAGAAGGUUGGCCCCCAAAGAAGCUUUGCAUUUUGUUUUUUGUCUACAUGUUAAGAGUGGGAAAUGGCUUCCCUAUAGGACCAGAGCCCAAGUAGUAGAAUCGACCACACUUUUUAUUUUCUUUAAAGCUCUUGCAUGUCUGCUGUAGCGUUGCAUUUUUGCUAUAUAGGUCCAUGACAUCUUACCCACUUCCAGUAAAGGCUGCUACAGACA